AGGCUCACUUUGUCAAAGAUAGGCGAUGUAAUACUGCAAAAGCAGUUCUCGGACUGGAGUCUUCAUACAGAUGGGCUUUAAGUGGAACACCUCUUCAAAAUCGUGUUGGGGAGCUCUACUCUCUUUUCCUCAAAACAAUGUCCUGAAUGCUCUCACAGUUCUGUACGGCACUUUUGUUGGUGGAAUCGAUAUAUAGCGAAUCCUAUACAAGCACAUGGAAAUGCUGUUGGCAGAAGGCGAGCAAUGAUAUUACUAAAACACAAUUUUGAAAAACAUUUUGCUGAGACGCACAAAAAAGGGAAGAGCUGCUGAUCUUGCACUUCCACCUAGAAUUGUGAGUUCUCUUGCAUAUGUGUACAAUUACAAUUCGGC